CCUACGGGGGGCAGCAGUGGGGAAUAUUGCACAAUGGGGGAAACCCUGAUGCAGCGACGCCGCGUGAGUGAAGAAGUAUUUCGGUACGUAAAGCUCUAUCAGCAGGGGAGAAAAACCGGCCUUAGGGCCGCCAGACGGUACCUGACUAAGAAGCCCCGGCUAACUACGUGCCAGCAGCCGCGGUAAUACGUAGGGGGCAAGCGUUAUCCGGGUUUACUGGGGGUAAAGGGGGCGUAGACGGCAGCGCAAGGCUGGAGUGAAAUGCCGGGGCCCAACCCCGGAACUGCUUUGGAUACUGUUCGGCUGGAGUGCAGGAGAGGUAAGCGGAAUAAGUAGUGUAGCGGUGAAAUGCGUAGAUAUUAGGAGGAACACCAGUGGCGAAGGCGGCUUACUGGACUGUAACUGACGUUGAGGCUCGAAAGCGUGGGGAGCAAACAGGAUUAGAUACCCGGGUAGUC
rnacentral:rRNA from 1 species